AGUGCCAAAAUUCACCACUUUUCUAACCCGUUUGAUUAAGAAACGGCGUAAAAAACGCCGUUUAAUUUUUCAAAACGCCGAAAAAAACGGCGUUCUGUUUCGACAGACGCCGUUUUUUCCGACUCUCACAUGGCGCCCUGAACGCACCAUCUGAGUGACGUAAAAAGCGGCGUUCAAAGACAGACGGAAACGCCGUUUUUUCCGCCACUCGGCAGAAAACGCCGUUCAAAGAUGCAUAAAAACGGCGUUUUUUACGGCGUUCUGUGCCAGCUGUAACGGCGUUUAAAACGGCGUUUUAUUGAAAUUAUGCAGGGCACUCCCCAUGGUUCCCUCAUCCAAUUACUUUCAACUCAUUUCACCCAAUCAAAGAAGAGGAAGUGCAGACCACACUAAUGCAUCACCGAUUCACCUUGCUGCUAAGUGAUUGCCUAUUCAGUACCAGUGCUUGUCACAGUAUUGACUUGUAUUAUAAUCCCACUAUGCAUUUUGAUGUGGUUAAGGCAUGAUCAAGCAAACAAACGACAGAAUACUUUUUCUGAAACCUUAACUGUGGUACCUGUUAUGGCAGCUAACAGACACUCGGCGCAUGGCUCCUUUGUUUACGUUAGGGAUCAGCUGUUAGCGCUGCCCCUGCAGCUGCGCUACCAGCAGACAGACCCUACGUCCCCAGUGAGGGAAGAGACGGGGGUGAUGUCUCCCGAGAAGGACACCUUACACACCAUCUCUCCUUCCUGUAAUCACUGUAAACGUGAGAUCGCUCCCUGAUAUGAUUGAGGAGCUAAUGACGCUAACCCGGUCACAGUGGCAGUACCCCGACACUGCCCGGUACUCCCUCUGUGAGUAGGCUGCCCGGCUUCCAGCUGCUGCGGCCGGACAA